rnacentral:rRNA from 1 species
GACGGAGGGGGCUAGCGUUGUUCGGAAUUACUGGGCGUAAAGGGCGCGUAGGCGGCCAAACAAGUCAGGUGUGAAAGCCCAAGGCUUAACCUUGGAACAGCAUUUGAGACUGUUUGGCUUGAGACCGAGAGAGGAUAGUGGAAUUCCUAGUGUAGAGGUGAAAUUCGUAGAUAUUAGGAAGAACAUCAGUGGCGAAGGCGGCUAUCUGGCUCGGUACUGACGCUAAGGCGCGAUAGCGUGGGGAGCAAACAGG